UUAUCCAAAGCGCUUUACAAUUGAUGCCUGUCAUUCGCCAGAGCAGUUAGGGGUUAGGUGUCUUGCUCAAGGACACUUCGACACGCCCAGGGCGGGGUUUGAACCGGCAACCCUCCGACUGCCAAACAAUCGGUCUUACCUCCUGAGCUAUGUCGCCCCCAUAGUAUAUGAUAGAUAUUUCAAGCAAGACCCCAUAGAUCACUCCUUUCAUACCAGCCCUACUCCCUGGGACAAAUCCUUCCACUCGCCUCUUCCCUUUCGCAUCCAGAGAAACAGCUUUGGUCAACUGAGCAGCAGAAUUACAGUAAACAAGCAUCUUUCCAUCUGCCAGAAUCCUUGCAUUUACAAUUUCAGCCAGCUCUUCCUUCAAUGCACUAGCGAGCAGACUGCCCUACCUUCAGUUUAAAGAUCACUUUAAACUCUUCUGACUGGCUGCUGUCCAUUCUCAUUAUCUUUACCUGCUCUCCCCCUCCGUCUGACUCCUGAGAUGAAUUACGAGUAGUUUUAGUUUUCCUUUUCCUGUUUUUCCCCUUACUACUUUCCCAACUCCCCCCACCUUCAUCAUCAGAUUGCAUAGUACCAGAAACAGCAGCUCGUCACGGAAUCAGUCUGUUACAGUGAUUUAUGGUAACAGGUUGCUAAAGAUGUUUUAGGGAGACAGGUUAAUAAAGGUGUUUUAGGGAGACAGGUUAAUAAAGGUGUUUUAGGGAGACAGGAUAAUAAAGGUGUUUUAGGGAGACAGGAUAAUAAAGGUGUUUUAGGGAGACAGGAUAAUAAAGGUGUUUUAGGGAGACAGGAUAAUAAAGGUGUUUUAGGGAGACAGGUUAAUAAAGGUGUUUUAGGGAGACAGGAUAAUAAAGGUGUUUUAGGGAGACAGGAUAAUAAAGGUGUUUUAGGGAGACAGGAUAAUAAAGGUGUUUUAGGGGGUUUAUUAGUCUUUUAGCUUCACUAAUUUCUGUCUUUUUGAUUAUAGGGGGGUUUAUUAUAGGGUUUUUUUUCAUUUUAUCUUUGUUGAAAGUGUUUAAUGUGUAUCUCCAUCUUUUUUGGUUCAAGCUAAUUUCCCAUGCUUUGUUGAUUGCCUUUUCUGCCUGUUAAAGAAAAAAGUACAUUAGUUGUGAUUUCUUUCUUUUCCUUUCAAGGUUUCGAAAGAAGACGCCGAGCUGUCAGAACAUUAAUCCAAGGUAAGUGUUCUUUUAGUUUGUACAUUUGUACAAUAACUAAUCCUGCUUGAACAGAACAAAAGAAACACAUACACUGCAAAAAUACAUUUUCAUGUUUCUUGAAUGAUAAAAAGAUCAUGCACUUUCUGUACUGUCAGUAUGCAACCUGAACAUUGUACCAAAGGGACGACCUUUUAAGAUAUUUGAAUAGCUUGGCAUGGAAUGUGUGAAACACGCACCACACAAAGAACAAACAAUCAACGGCGGCAGCUGAUCGCACUAAAUGUGCAAUUUACCAACAUGUUACUGCCUGCAGAACAGCAGGCCCAGAUGCUCCUGGUCUGUAGAGACAAACUCCAAAGAUAUGAUUAUGUUGGGAUGACAAUUACAGCUUGGUGGGGCUGCAUGCCCCAUACCUGAACAGCGCUGAGAGUUUGGCACUUUUCAGGGUUCCCUACCACAGUACCACAUAAAAUAACCAAAAAGCCCCAGUAAUCAUCAUAAUCAAAUAAUCAUAAAAAUAAAUAACCACAACAACCACCACAAACUGUCAUUUCUGUAGAUUCUGACACCAUUUCAACAGACAGAAUUCACAAACAGCUUCACAUGUCUGCACAAUAAAGCCCCAAACCUUAGAUUCAGCAUUUUUUUCCAUCUUCUUUUUUUUCCUGCCUGAUUACAUCAUCUCAAAUUCUCCAAGCCCAGAUAGAAUGUGUUUCCCCAUUGGACAUUUAGGUACAUCAGCUAAUAAAAACAUUUGAUACACGCACACAAAAUGGACAGACAUGCUAGUGCACACAUUUAAAACAGUAAAAUCUUGCAGCCCUGAUGUGUACUUCCCUUGCAGCUCACUGGGUAGUGCAUUUGCCUUUGUGUCUUUUUGGACGAGUGAUAGACCCGGGUUCAAAUCCUCCCUUGGACUGAAGCAAACCUCUAACUCAUUAGACUAGCUUGCUGGCUAACUAAAAAUAAAACAUUUUAACUAUUAA